UUCCCUACGGGGGGCAGCAGUGGGGAAUAUUGCACAAUGGGCGAAAGCCUGAUGCAGCAACGCCGCGUGAGCGAUGAAGGCCUUCGGGUCGUAAAGCUCUGUCCUCAAGGAAGAUAAUGACGGUACUUGAGGAGGAAGCCCCGGCUAACUACGUGCCAGCAGCCGCGGUAAUACGUAGGGGGCUAGCGUUAUCCGGAUUUACUGGGUGUAAAGGGAGCGUAGACGGAAAGGCAAGUCAGAAGUGAAAGCCCAAGGCUCAACCAUGGGACUGCUUUUGAAACUGUCAAACUAGAGUACGGGAGAGG
rnacentral:rRNA from 1 species